GCUCCGGCCUGUGCUUUCGCCUCCAGACCACGGAGCUUCUUCGCCCACAUGCUGGGUGCCGUCCAGCCUGAGGCCUGUGUGCAGGGUCCCGGUUUCAAGCCCCGAUUCCCACCUGCUAACUGUGACCCAGGAAGCCCCACCCCCGCAGCCCUCAGUUUCUUCACCUGCCAAACUCCCUGCCUUCGAGGUGGGAGAUUACGUAAGUAAGGAGGAACCCUCUCAUGGGACAGCUGGACACAGCCAGGCGGGAAGGACUCUUCACCAGCCCCGGCUGCCAUCACUGCUGGCAUCGACACUGACCCUCCAGCUCCAGCACCAG
rnacentral:lncRNA from 1 species